rnacentral:rRNA from 1 species
UACGAACUGUGCAAACGUUAUUCGGAUUCACUGGGCUUAAAGGGUGCGUAGGCGGCCAUGUAAGUAGGGUGUGAAAUCCCCCGGCUUAACCGGGGAACUGCGCCCUAAACUGUAUGGCUGGAGCGAGAUAGGGGUGUGUGGAACUUCCGGUGGAGCGGUGAAAUGUGUUGAUAUCGGAAGGAACGCCGGUGGCGAAAGCGACACACUGGGUCUCAACUGACGCUGAGGCACGAAAGCCAGGGGAGCGAACGGG